UUGGGGCUUAUAAUUACUAUUUUCACAUUUUCAUAUUAAUGUGUUCUUUUCCCCAUUUCACACUACUUACAUAAUCUUGCUACACUGGUUUAGAUUAAGUCUUAAAAACAGCUUGAAGGGGAGAAUCAAGAGCUCGUGAAGACGUGACCGAGGGAGUCAGAAACGUGGACACAGCACACAUCUAUUUAAAGGCUCACGUCAAACCCAUCACCACACCAUGCAGGUCUUAAAGAGACAGUGACACAGAAAACGCUCAUCUGAGGACGUCUGAUCCUCAUGACGUGAUCGCUGCAUCUGAUUUAAUCGCUGUCUCUUUAAGAAGUCGCUGAAAGCACUCAUUUUUUUCCUGUUUACCUGGGCCUUUGGGUUCGGUUACCUCUAAAAGCAUGUCGUGCUUAGUUUCCGCGGCGUCUGUUGCCAUGGCAGCUGCACACCUUGGCUGUGGUGAGAGAAGAAGUUAGUGAGUGUGGGGAUGUUGUUAUCAGGGGGGGUGAAAGUGGGAGCCUUUUAUUAUACCAAGAGGAGAGUCACAUGAGAGAUCAGGACAAGGAUGAUUCGAGAUCCCCCCGACACAACAAACCACCUCUUAUUUGCAUCAUCAAACCCACAGAUUGCAUCCUGAACCCUGCGUCCUCGAGCACCUGUCUGCGGUGUGUCGGGCUGAGCCGAGCCAAGCCAGAGGUUUUCUGAUGUACUGCGGGAAAAUGUGUGUUUGUGCAAAAAACCACAACGACCCGGAGCCGGCAAAUAUUACAAACCAGAGCGUAUGAGAGACAGUACUGAGAGAGAGAGAGAGGGGGGAAGAGGAACUCUGCCGCCGUCUCCAGUGGGAUCAGCAUGCCGUGGGCUUCCUUCCUGAGGGGAACAGAGCUGGACAGACUCUCUCAGAAAUGUCUCAACCCCUAAAAGGCUCUUUGUCCUGUCUGAUCACCAGCCAGCGCAGAACAAGGAGCGAACAAGCAUGUUUGGUGGUAGGGCCCUAUUGCUGCAGAGGACAGACUCGGGGAGCAGCUAGAGAUGGGAUGAGGGAAGCACGAGGAGCAGCCAUGUGCUCUACAGAAGCAGAGAAAUGCCUUUGACAAGGAUACAGCUGCAUCAUAGUAUGGCGGCGGCAUCUCAGCGCUCUCUCAUCAUCAUUUGAUGGUGACGCCGGCUCUGCACCAGAGCGGGCCUGACAACUACCAAAGUCCAGCGGCAUGGCUUAGUGUUGUAGCGGCUGUAGUGCCAUAACCUGACAGCACAAGUAGCUUGCCGACAAAGCAGACACAGACGAACGUGGUG